AUACGGAGGGUGCGAGCGUUAAUCGGAAUUACUGGGCGUAAAGGGUCCGUAGGCGGUCUGCUUAGUCUGAUGUGAAAGCCCCGGGCUUAACCUGGGAAUGGCAUUGGAUACUGGCGGACUAGAGUCUGGUAGAGGGUGGUGGAAUUCCCGGUGUAACGGUGAAAUGCGUAGAUAUCGGGAGGAACACCAGUGGCGAAGGCGGCCACCUGGACCAAGACUGACGCUGAGGGACGAAAGCGUGGGGAGCAAACAGGAUUAGAAACCCUUGUAGUCC
rnacentral:rRNA from 1 species